rnacentral:lncRNA from 1 species
GGUUGCUGAUCGAUAGAGAUAAGAAUUCAUGUACGUAAUCACUUAUGUGGAUAAUAUGUAUUUUAUAAUAUAUGCUGAUGAUUUUUAGGUUUUGCAUCAUUUGUUGUAUUAUUGUUGAUUGAUUUCUGAUAUGAAUAUAUAAGUAUUUUUUUUUAUUGUGCAAAUAUAUCAAAUAUUGAUUAUUUUGAUUUCUAGAAAUAUGAUUUUGGUUGUUUAGAAUGUAAUAUUGGUUAUUUUGGCAAAAAGUUUAAUAUGAAAUUAUAUUCUCUAUGGCAUG